ensembl:lncRNA
AAAUCAACUUUUUGAUGAUAUUCUAAUUAUAUGACCAGCACCUGUACAUUUUCUUGCUUAAUAAUUGCAUAAAAUGUCAACAAAUGAGAGGAAUAUUUCAAUAAGGCUAAUUGUGUAGAUGUGGAUGCGCAGAUGACACUAAAGCCAAGCUAAGCUGCCAGAACCAAUACUUGUAAUCAGUGCACAUGAGACUGCAGGUGUCAACAAGGGAUUGUCCUCCCUUCCUGUUAUUUCCUCCCAUGUCUAACCACUCAAACAUAGCCUGUGGCAUGAAAUCUUUAGGUAGUCUUUUUAUAGUUAUAGCCCCAAUGUACCAUCUGUCUGUGUUUAAAGAAUUAUGACCUAACCAUAUAAUCAUAGUAUUUUGCAAAUGUGCAUCAACUGGUCUUUUAAUUCUUUAGUAGGCCUAUUUUGCAUUUGAGCCCUUGGAAUAAUAAUCAUAUUAUCAUAAUAAUCAUUUCAUGGCAUCAUCAUGCUUUGCCUGCUAUGAAGUCUAUUACGUUUUUUUUUUUUCGGGUUUUUUUUUUCAAAAUUGUCCUGCUGAGACUGGUCCUGGUUUCCAGUAAUUCCUGCUUUCACUUUCACUCUGCUUCCAGUGCCUCAGGGCAGGGCACUCAGAAUCUGACAUAUAAGGGCUUCAUUUUCCACCGCCCUCGGCUAUGGAUCACCCACACUGACGUGCUUGUGUUCAGAUCUCCCUUAAAUAUUUUGAGUUUGCUCCACACUGUAAGCGAUGCUCCUUGGGGUGUAUCACAUUGAAACGGAUGCUGUGAGUUCCUGGAUUGAGGUACAGUACAUAACAGAUGUUAUCAUUGCAGACCUAAAGGCUAAGUUUCUUGGAAAAGGUGGAUUUUAUGAAUCGUGACUCGACUUCAAUCCACCUACAGCAUUCCUCAAAACUUCUAUAGUACAACCAGCACUGCGUGAAAAACUUGUUGCCAGGAAACGAGAUGGGAACAGGUCAUAGAACACCCCCUCAGGGUUUUGUUCAAUGAGAUGCAAGUCUUCCUGUCUGUCUGUUUUGCUUCUUAGAGCAUUUGCUAACCUUCAGUGUAUCUUCUUACGGGCUGUGGUAGUAUUCUUGCUUAACUGAACAUCAGUUAUUGCAUUUUCCAAGCACAUUUUUACUCAUUUUGGUUUUAUCAAUGUACAUCAUAUCAAUGGCAUAAUGCACAUCUAUUAACUUGUUCAUCAAUACGAUAAAAAUGCAAUGAUGAGCAUAUUUGUAUUUUCUGAAUUAAAACUCAUUUAUAUAUAACCAGUAACUAUGACUUUUGCCUCAAUAAACUCCUAAUUUGCUGAUUAUUAAUAAUUAGU